UCUCUGGUAGCUCAGUGGUAAAGUGUCUGCCUACAACGUGGGAGACCCGGGUUCGAUUCCUGGGUCGGGAA
rnacentral:tRNA from 1 species